CAAUACUGUUACCGUAGGAGGCAUAAACACAAUCCCCUUCAAAUUGGAAGAAUAGUAAGAACGAUAAAAUCGGGGUAAUGGAAUGUCAGUUUGAAUGUUUCUCUCCCUUUAUUUCAGUAGCACUCAUUGUAAUUUUUGAUGAACUUGUUCUUUAACAAAGAAAAUUUGUUCUGAGCAGAGGUUGAGGCCCAGAUGAAAAUUGAGAUUCCAAACCAUGAUCGUGUUGGAUUUCCAUUACCGAUUUUGGUUAUCUUCUGGCUUAUGUUCUUCAGAAUGAACAUUUUUCGUUUAUGAAAUAUUUCUUCCUGUAUAUGACUACGGUUGUGUUGCGUCCCAUUGAAUUGUUUCUGGAACAAAUCUGCAGUCAUAGGUACUUCACCAUGUGGCUUCUUGGUGCUUUAAGUAUAGGAGCUUUUGUGAGGCCAAGAAUUUUAUUUAUUUUUCACCCUCGUGUGCAACACAAACUGAAGGGGAUUCCCAAAAUUCAAUUGCAUAACCCAGUUUCAUAGUCCUUUCAAGAUGUCAAACUUCCAGUAACUCCUAGUUAUAUAGCUUUAGAACUAUGGAUUUUCUCACAAACUAAAUGUAAAAUUGGUUUGUGGGUUCUACCCCUCUCUCUAGCGAUGGACUUUUAUUUGUUUUUUCUUUCCUCCAAAAGGGAAAUCAUUCCAUUGCAUCUCUCCUCUAGAGGGAAAUCAAGUCGUUCUUGUUCGAUGGUGUUAUCGAAGCUCCGGUAUCUCUCUCACUCAUUAUUGGAUUCUUAAAUAAUUGGAUCGCUCUGUUUUGUGUACCAAAUUCAAUCUACCAGCAAGAAAUAUGUACAUGUAGGUUCUCUUUAGUCUUGCCUUUCGUCGCCGUCAUCAGCUAAGAACCAUGGCUCGUUGAAGCUUUGGAGG